rnacentral:rRNA from 1 species
AGAAAAUAGAUACCCGGGUAGUCCACGCCGUAAACGAUGGAUGCUAGCUGUAAGGAGUAUCGACCCUUCUUGUAGCGAAAGCUAAACGCGUUAAGCAUCCCGCCUGGGGAGUACGGUCGCAAGAUUAAAACUCAAAGGAAUUGACGGGGACCCGCACAAGCGGUGGAGCGUGUUCUUUAAUUCGAUGAUAAGCGAAGAACCUUACCAGGGCUUGACAUCCUUGGAAGUCCGUCGAAAGACGGAUGUGCCUUUUGGUAACCAAGUGACAGGUGUUGCAUGGCCGUCGUCAGCUCGUGUCGUGAGAUGUUUGG